rnacentral:rRNA from 1 species
GACGAACGCUGGCGGCGUGCUUAACACAUGCAAGUCGAGCGGUAAGGCCCUUUCGGGGGUACACGAGCGGCGAACGGGUGAGUAACACGUGGGUGACCUGCCCUCAGCUCUGGGAUAAGCCUGGGAAACUGGGUCUAAUACUGGAUAUGACUCCACGGUGCAUGUCGUGGGGUGGAAAGCCUUGUGCGGCUGAGGAUGGGCCCGCGGCCUAUCAGCUUGUUGGUGGGGUGAUGGCCUACCAAGGCGACGACGGGUAGCCGGCCUGAGAGGGCGACCGGCCACACUGGGACUGAGACACGGCCCAGACUCCUACGGGAGGCAGCAGUGGGGAAUCUUGCGCAAUGGGCGAAAGCCUGACGCAGC